rnacentral:sRNA from 1 species
CCGGGCAAGUUUGUUCCCCGAGUUCGGAGCCCAGGAGCCCCCGCGGCUGCCGCGUAGGUGCCCUCGGCCUGAGUCGGGAUGGAGCUGCCUGCUGUGAACCUGAAGGUGAUUCUCCUAGGUCACUGGCUGCUGACAACCUGGUAAGUGACUCUGUGGGUAUGUGUGUGUCUCCUGCGGUCUCAUGGUCUGUGUCAGCCGGGUCAGGUCCUGGUUCUGCCAUGUUUUAGCCAGGUCACUUUGGGCCAGACAGCUCGGCCUCUCCGGGUCUUGAUUUCCAUCUGUACAAUAGGCAUAAGGAUUGCACACCCUGCAGGAGCUGGGAGGGAGACGUGGAAGUGCUCAUCAGAGCUCCCCAGGGCCUGCCCCACAGUGAGGCCUCAGCACUGCAGCUUGAUGUUCACCUUUACCAUCUCUUUUAAUCUGUUGAGCUUCUGGAGACAUUUCUUUGCCAAACCAAGAUUGGAAACCAUUGAGCUCACCUGUGCGCUUUGCAAACUUUGAAGUGCAGCGCACAGGGCAACAGCUGUGAGUAAUGUGAACCGUAACCAUCAUGGUUCACGACCUCGAGAAGCAGGGCCAAAAUACAGAUUUCUUAGUCACACUUCCCCAAGAUUCUGAGUUGGUGAUUCUGGGCUGGGACCCAGGCACCUGCUUUCUUAAAAGCAAAAGAUAAGAUGGUUUAUUCAAAGACCUAUUGAACCGAAUGGCACUCCACACCUGCCUUGCACAUGUCUUCUGCAUGUUACACUUCAGUGAAUGUCCUAUAAAUCUAGGAAGUGCCUGCUGCAUACAGGGGAAGGAAGGCCCAGUGGGUUUGGUAAUAAACAAGGUAGACUCAGUCCCUGUCUUCCUGAGUCUUCCUGGCAGCACGGCAGGGUGAGCAAGAGCAUGGCCUCUCCAGCCAGACUCCAAAUCCCAGUCCCACUGCUCAGCAACUGUGUGACCUUGGGCAAGUUACUUAACCUCAUUGUGU